GUCGAUGUGUCCAAGUGGUUAAGGAGACAGACUUGAAAUCUGUUGGGUUGGCCCGCGCAGGUUUGAACCCUGCUGUCGACG